rnacentral:sRNA from 1 species
UGGCCUUGUGGCUUUUGGGGUUUGCGGUUGGAGCGCCUGGCGGCUCUCUGGCCCUGAGCCUGGCCCCGCUGACCUGCCCUGGUGUCCCCCUGCGCUGAGCAGGAACGUGGAGGAACUCUGCCGCUUCCCUGAGCUGCCUGCCCGCAAGCCCCUCACCUACCAGACGAAGCAGCUCAUCGCCCGAGAGAUCGAGGUGGAGAAGAUGCGGCGGGCGGAGGCUUCUGCCCGGGUGGAGAACAGCCCCCAGGUGGAUGGGAGCCCCCCAGGGCUCGAGGGUCUGCUGGGGGGCAUUGGGGAGAAAGGGGUGCACCGACCUGCCCCACGCAACCAUGAGCAGCGGCUGGAGCACAUCAUGAGGCGAGCGGCCCGGGAGGAACAGCCUGAGAAGGACUUCUUUGGACGUGUGGUCGUCAGGAGCACAGCAGUCCCGAGUGCAGGUGUGUGUGGGGGUGUUGUGGGGUUGUGGGGGGCCUGGGGUGCUGGGGUCCAGCUGAGGAGCAACCCUGUGGCCCUGCAGGGGACACGGCCCCGGAGCAGGACUCAGUGGAGCGGCGCAUGGGCACAGCGGUGGGCAGGAGCGAGGUCUGGUUCCGCUUCAACGAGGGUGUCUCCAACGCCGUGAGGCGCAGCCUGUACAUCAGGGACUUGCUCUAGUUCUCUCUGAGCCGCGGACAUGCCCCCGCAUUGCUUCCCGCAGAGUGCAGAGACAGGAAGCUGGAGAUGUCUUUAUAAAGUCACACCUUUACAGACUGUAA